GGGAUCACUUGUGGUCCUAGGUCUCGUGUCCGCGUCUCGGGGGUUGCUCGGGGCGUGACAAAACUAUUGAGGGUACAAAUCAACUGGUGAUUUCUCGAAGCUUGCUACCAAACGAGGAGAUGCCAAGCGUGCAAGGCUAAGAAGUUUCUUAAAGGGGAAUACCAGUUGAUGUUCAAGUUUAUUAACAAAGUAAUGGUGCCCCAAACUGAAAAGACAACAGUGGCUUCUGCUGCCGAUCUUUUCCUCAUGGAAAAGCUUGAUAAGCUUGAGGAAAUCAACCUCCCUGUUAUUAUGCUGGAACAUAUGCAUAGAGUAAUAACAUGGAAGAAUGCCAAGCACGGCAUUCCCUAUGGGUAUUUGCUAAACUUUGUCUUUAACCAUUUUGAAGUUCCAGUGGGAAAAUGGGUACCUGGUACCACCAAGCAGAUGUUCACUAUGUCUACUCUACUAGAAUGCGAGUGCAUUGAGGGACAUGCUAGGGGAAGAUCUCAAGUGGCGGAUGUACUGGAGCAGCAGGCUACUCUUAAGAGGAGGUGACUGAUCUUACCACGAUUCUGAGUGACAAGGAAGUUGAAAUCACUAGGCUCAAGCCUGAAUUGCAGAAAGUUGUUUCCAGAGGACCUGUUACCAAUGAGGGUCAUGAGCAGGUGCUCAAAGAGUUGAGGGAUGGAAAUAAAGUGCUGCUAGAGACAAAUGUCUCUCUCAAUGAGGAAAUUAAGUCCCUAAACAGGCAACUGAUACAGGCCCAUGAAAAUGCAAACGAGCGCAUGAUGAUGUUGAUGUGCACUUUUAAUUCCUCCCAUCCUCCGUCCUAAAUGUGUCAUGUCUCUCUAGUUGUUGUUUCUUUGUUCCACCUUAUUAUCCUAAACUUUUGUGGCUUUGUGUUGUUUAGAUUGACUACAGUGGUCAGUAUUUGUGAUGUAAUGCUACUUAUGUUUUUGCCUUGUUCAUGUGUGGUUUGAUUAUCUCUUCAUGUUGUCAUACGCAUGUUCUGUGUGGCCCAUGGCCCUGAAUUCUUGCAUGCCUCGCAUUUUAACUUGAAUACGUUUACUGCUCCACCUUUUCAAUGAUGUCAAAAGGGGGAAAACUUUUGUUUGCAUCUUGUUAGGGGGAACUGAUUAAAUGGGGAAUCGAUUAAGGGGGAACACCAGUGAUAGAAAUUGAAUGAAUGUUUGUUCACUCAUGAGGAGUGAAUGAAAAUUGUUUGUCAUCAUCAAAAUGGGGGAAAUUGAUAAAGACUAAUGUUCCUAGAUGUUUUGAUGAUAUCCUCACAAGUGCAGGGACCUGGUCCUCUGCAGAGUAUGAAUACUCGUCUAGUGUCAAAGUGCUGAAUAGCUGUAAAACUGUCCGCGUCAGAAAGUUGGUGAAGCAGCAGAGUACUUCACCAAUCAGAAGCGACGAGGUUGUUUGUACGUUGGCUAAUGAUUCCUCAUGGUAUAUAUCAAACAACAAACAACAUUAUUCAUCAUUCAUUCAAAGAGAGAUACUUUCAAGCUUCAAAAUAGCAAGGGACCUGAUACAAGUGUUUCUAUUUGCUUUCAGUACCAGUUGCAUUUGUCUGCUUGUAAUAGUGCUUAUAUUGUAAGAUUUGUUUCACUUGUGAAAGAAAUGUUUCAAACUUGUGUGAAUCAUUGUAAGAACUAGGUUAAGGGUAACUUAGUUUCUUACUCUAAAGUCUAUACUAAUCGAUUAGAAUUAGAAUAGUGGGCAGUGUUGUAUCUGAUCUGGCUCAGCUAAGUAAUAUGAGGUAUUGCUUAGAGCUGAGAUUAGUAGGCUAAUCUCAGUUUGUAAACUGACUUUUACUUUUGCUUGAGAAGAUUAGUGAAAACAAUUUGAAAAGUCAUGGCAGGCUAGGUCGUGGUUUUACUCCGUUGAGCAAGAAGAUUUGCACGUAAAGUUGAUUGUCAUUCUUUACUUCCAGCAUUUGUUGUUUACUGUUUAUUUUGAUUGUGUUGAGGACCUGGUCCCAUUUACAUAGGUGGACGCAUACAUUCCAACAUGAAUGCAUAUCCAUCUUAUUCGCAUUCAUAUGAGUCUUAAGUCUUGACAAUGUGGAUAUGUUAUUUUUGGAGACCCAACAUCCGUUCCCAUAUAAUGUUGUUGUUCUUACAACCAUUUUACAGGGCCUAACUACAUCUCUGACUCCAAACACACUACAUUUUUUCCCCUAGUAAGUGCAAAAUUCCCAAUACUUAUCCAUCCUAUCAAGAGUACUACUAUAACAUUGAUACAUUUGUUUUUGACUCUAUGUAUCUGCAGUCUCUUCCACUCAAAACAUGCCUAGUUCUCUUUCAACCAUAUUGUUCUCAGUAUGCAAUUUGGAAUAAUCUUACAUAUCUGCUUCAAGCCCCCUUCUAACUUUUUAAACUGCCAAACUUCCAAAGGGCUGUUGAUCUUCUGUGGUAAUACCAAAUAUAUGCCCAUGAUGCUAAAGAAAAGUUCCCAGCAUUGUCUUGAGAAGCUGCUAUGUAAGAAUACCUGAUCAACUGUUUCCUACUCAGAAUUACAUAAAUAACAUCUGUUGCACAAUGAAUAACCUCUCGUUUGCAAGUUGUUCUUUGAUCAUUCCAGGAAGGAGGUCUUAUUCUUGGGAAAGACUGAAAUAGAAAGCAAAGCAAAGUAAAUAGUCUACAAGCAGAACAAAAAACUAGAAGGUUUUUCGAUUGCAAGUGAAUAAUGGAAUUACUAUGAUCAAGAAUUGGUUUGAUGACCCCAUCAGACUCUGCACUAAUGUUAGCAUCCUUUUAGUCUACCAAUAGUUUUAUGCAUGGAAAGUUUAAUCAGAAAGUUGAUUAAAUCAACAACUAUUAUUUAUGUUUUUUAGUUUUCUCUGUAGGUCUUCUGUAAAAGGUGUUUUCCCUGUAGCAGUUGUUUUUCUCUGUAGUAGUUAUUAGCAAUAAUGAGGUUAUUCCUCCACUUUCUCAUUUCAGUUGUAGUAGGAAGUUAUUUCCUUGUUGUUAUUAGGUGGGUGGUUAAUCCACCAAUGUUGUAUUUAAGUUAUUUUAAUUCAAUGGAAACGGGAAGCAGAAAAUUAGUCAAGUUUUUGAGUA